UAAAGAGCUAAGGAAAGAGAGAAUAAUUUUUCAGUGUUGGUUCAAGGAUUUUUUUGAACAUGCACGGAAGAAUUUGUACAGUAAAUCGUGAUAAAAUGGUGGAAUUAUCAGGUCGCGAUAAGUAUGUUUUCUUUGCGGUGAAAAAAUUUCAUGUGUAUAAUGCGUGGAAAAAUAAUACGAAAACCGCCGCGACUCAAUCGUUUGAAUCACUGAUUUUUUUACUAUUUACGUGACGUUCCUGCGUAAGAUCGCACGCGCGCACUGCAAAGAAGAAUAACUCGUUUGGUUACCUAAGAGUAUAUACAACGCAAUCAUAGAAUCGCGACGAUCAGGAGCAAAGACGGCUAAAAGAAAAUUUAGCCAAUAUAAACUCACAACUUGCACAAGCUCCAGUUUCAAGUCCUCUCGGAUCACCGGACUACAGCCAGCCACUACCAGCAGAGCGAAAAACACCGGUAAUGCCGUCAUCGCGCACUUCGCCUUUUACCAAUCGCGAGAAGAAUCGUGUGCUUGGCAAGCUCCCGCGCGACGUACUGCAGACCGAGACCAGAGCUCCUGUUGAUUUUAUAAUAUCACCGAGCCCGCAGGUUUCUCUCAUUUUUUUCCUCAAGCUGGCUUUCCAUCUCCCAAGAUAUCUCACGGGCGCGUCAGACUAUAGCUCUGUUUGACGGUGAUGAUCGGAAGUCAUCGGCGUUGCGUCAGCUUAUUAGAAAGUUUAUACUAGUAUACAUAGAUACACGUGCAAGAUUCUUCUUGGGAUAGAGAUCGGUAAUCUUCUUUUCACGUGAUGGUACAUUUCGUUUGUUUUACGUAUUGGUGAAAAGUCAUCAUUAUUUGCCUAAAAUCGACUUAUCGAGGAUUGUAAUAAAUUACAAUUUUGAGUUCACAAGAAAUGUCAUGGACGCAGACAAAGCCAACGAUCGAUAACCGAUUUUACAGUCGAACAGUUCGCUGUACAUAUUGUUUGCGUGAUGUUUUCCUCGUGGUACUUGCUUCAGCGGCUAUGCCGAUCCUCCUCUAUUGCAAUAUAGCCACAAGACUAUUUGAAUUCAGGUCGAAGAACCGAUAAUGUGUGCGCUUAUACGCGCGCAGUAUCCCGAAGAAAAACUGGUUUUCCAAUUGCCGAUACGUCUACUGUAAUCGUCGGCAUGCGACUCUCUUCACGCGCAUGUCUAAUGAAUUCAAAGCCGACUGGAAUUAAUUGUUGGAUUCGAUGCGAUAGUAAGAUUUGAUAUAAAUUAGCCUGUUAGGCGAUUAAAAUUGCACGUUUAUCGCCAUGCGAGUCGAAUCUUUAAUUAUUUUUCACGAUCCCACGAGUGAUUACGAAAAUUGCGGGAAUGCUAUGUAACUGCGUUAUUUUAGAAUGCGCGAAAGUUCAUGGUCAGUCAGACCUUCGAGUACAGCGAGAGGAGCAAUAGCGAUUAUAAGUCUAGUCGAAGCUCCGAGAAUUAAUUUUUUUUAGUAAUGAAUCGCUUCGAGUCGAAGCUAUUAAAAAUUGAUGUUAUUUGUCGAUCUGAAAGAAAAAGCUAGAAGUAGGUCGAUUUUUUAAUUGAGCAUUCUGAGCAUACAUUUUAGCCAUACUGAAAUAAUUAAAUACACUAACGAAUAAAAUCUUGUUCUACCAUUGAAAAUGUUAAAUACAGUUAACCACUUCUUAGCACUUUCCGAUGACUUCAAACCUACGUACAAGACCAUAAUUGUAUAUGGUUGCCAGAAUACUUUGUAAUUCGUGGUAAUUCCCCACAAAAACAAGAAAUAAACCGUAAGAUCGAGAAACACA
rnacentral:lncRNA from 1 species